AUACGGAGGAUGCGAGCGUUAUCCGGAUUUAUUGGGUUUAAAGGGAGCGUAGGCGGGAGCUUAAGUCAGCGGUUAAAUGGUGCGGCUUAACCGUGCCCUGCCGUUGAAACUGGGUUUCUUGAGAGUGCAAGAGGCGGAUGGAAUUCACGGGGUAGCGGGGAAAUGCUUAGAUAUCAUGAAGAACUCCGAUUGCGAAGGCAGUCGGCUGGGGCACGUCUGACGCUGAUGCUCGAAGGUGCGGGAAUCAAACAGGAUUAGAUACCCUGGUAGUCCGCACGGUAAACGAUGAUUACCCGCUGUCGGCGGUAGACAGUCGGCGGCCAAGCGAAAGCGAUAAGUAAUCCACCUGGGGAGUACGCCGGCAACGGUGAAACUUAAAGGAAUUGGCGGGG
rnacentral:rRNA from 1 species